CCGUCAGUGGCCAAAUGGUAAGGCAAGGCGCAGAAAAGCCGGCUUGUUUGUCUGCUACCUGCACUACAGGUUCAAAUCCUGUCUGACGGACCA
rnacentral:tRNA from 1 species